AGUGAACGCUGGCGGUAGGCCUAACACAUGCAAGUCGAACGGCAGCACAGUAAGAGCUUGCUCUUACGGGUGGCGAGUGGCGGACGGGUGAGGAAUACAUCGGAAUCUACUUUUUCGUGGGGGAUAACGUAGGGAAACUUACGCUAAUACCGCAUACGACCUACGGGUGAAAGCAGGGGAUCUUCGGACCUUGCGCGAUUGAAUGAGCCGAUGUCGGAUUAGCUAGUUGGCGGGGUAAAGGCCCACCAAGGCGACGAUCCGUGGCUGGUCUGAGAGGAUGAUCAGCCACACUGGAACUGAGACACGGCCCAGACUCCUACGCGAGGCAGCAGUGGGGAAUAUUGGACAAUGGGCGCAAGCCUGAUCCAGCCAUACCGCGUGGGUGAAGAAGGCCUUCGGGUUGUAAAGCCCUUUUGUUGGGAAAGAAAAGCAGCAGGUUAAUACCCCGCUGUUCUGACGGUACCCAAAGAAUGAGCAGCGGCUAACUUCGU
rnacentral:rRNA from 1 species